rnacentral:rRNA from 1 species
GAUGAACGCUGGCGGCGUGCCUAAUACAUGCAAGUCGAGCGAACGGACGAGAAGCUUGCUUCUCUGAUGUUAGCGGCGGACGGGUGAGUAACACGUGGAUAACCUACCUAUAAGACUGGGAUAACUUCGGGAAACCGGAGCUAAUACCGGAUGAUAUUUUGAACCGCAUGGUUCAAAAGUGAAAGACGGUCUUGCUGUCACUUAUAGAUGGAUCCGCGCUGCAUUAGCUAGUUGGUAAGGUAACGGCUUACCAAGGCAACGAUGCAUAGCCGACCUGAGAGGGUGAUCGGCCACACUGGAACUGAGACACGGUCCAGACUCCUACGGGAGGCAUCAGUAGGGAAUCUUCCGCAAUGGGCGAAAGCCUGAGGGAGCAACGCCGCGUGAGUGAUGGAGGUCUUCGGAUCGUAAAACUCUGUUAUUGGGGAAGAACAUAUGUGUAAGUAACUGUGCACGUCUUGACGGUAACUAAUCAAAAAGCCACGGCUAACUCCGUG